CCUACGGGUGGCAGCAGUGAGGAAUAUUGGUCAAUGGACGCAAGUCUGAACCAGCCAUGCCGCGUGCAGGAAGACGGCUCUAUGAGUUGUAAACUGCUUUUGUACGAGGGUAAACGCAGAUACGCGUAUCUGUCUGAAAGUAUCGUACGAAUAAGAAUCGGCUAACUCCGUGCCAGCAGCCGCGGUAAUCCGGAGGAUUCAAGCGUUAUCCGGAUUUAUUGGGUUUAAAGGGUGCGUAGGCGGUCGGAUAAGUUAGAGGUGAAAUCCCGAGGCUCAACUUCGGACUUGCCUCUGAUACUGUUAGGCUAGAGAGUAGUUGCGGUAGGCGGAAUGUAUGGUGUAGCGGUGAAAUGCUUAGAGAUCAUACAGAACACCGAUUGCGAAGGCAGCUUACCAAGCUACGUCUGACGUUGAGGCACGAAAGCGUGGGGAGCAAACAGGAUUAGAUACCCCGGUAGUC
rnacentral:rRNA from 1 species